CACAUGUCUACCACCUCUAAAGAACAACCUAUGUCUCAACAAAAAAGAGGUGGAAUCUAUCAGAUUGAAAAUAUUAUGGAUAUCCACAGUAAGGUAAAUGAGUUAUCCCAAAAAUUAGACCGUCUUCUAAAUACGGAACACUCUCCGAUUCUACCUAAUCCAAUCUAAGAUGUUUGUGCAUUGUGUGCAAGCCCGACCCAUUUUGUUAGUGAAUCCCAACCGCACCUC
rnacentral:lncRNA from 1 species